AUAAGUCCUCCGCAGGACGUUGGCACAGCCUGGCUUUUCUUCCGUGAUUCGAUCGUUUCAUACUUGCUGCGGGUUUCGGGUAUGGGGAGCCCUGAAAAUGCCCCCUUAGAGCUCUGCCUACAGUGAUGGGACCACGGUGUUGGAGUCUGUUGGAGAGCAGGGAGUCCUAAGCCAGGCUUUGGAUCAGGACACAGAAGAGUUUGUGGUGUCAGGAGGCCCUCACCCACAGCCACCCGGUGAGGAGGAGUGCUGCCUGGCCCAGACCACAGCGUGGGAAGCAGGACCUUCCUCGACGGCGCCUGGACACUGCCAGCCAGCUCUGUGCUUAUGAAUCCAUGGCAGCCCGGGGGGAUCGCUUUAGUGCUGACCGGUAUUGCUGAUUUCUGUCGCUGUUAACGCUGACCAGGAUAAACAGGAGAGCUGGGUUUGCUAAGAAAGACAGAACUCUUCUGACCCAGAAGACCUUUGGGACUCAGAGACACCACUUCUGAGCAUCAGUCUUCUCUCUUGACAAAUGACGUUUAAAAAAAGUGGUUCCAGAAACCUUCUACUGGGCACGAGUGUCCAGACUUCAGGAUAAAGCAAGCUGCCAACCUCAAGCAUGGGUUUUUAUUUUCUCUAAAACACAUUAUUGGCAUCCGUGAUGCUCUUCCUACUGAGGCAGAGCUUGGACUCUGGCAGAGAAAUGUCUGGAUGAAUAAUCCGCUAAACGCAGCUGCUGGGAGGUUCAUUCAGCAAAUGAACUGCCCUCUCUCCUCUCCCAUGGGGCUUUGCACAUCGGAGUGAGAAAAAAACGGGCUGAUCAAUAACACCAGCAGAACAAAGAGCAUACACGAACUCAAACAAGACUAUUGCCUCAGUAAUUUGUGGGCUACACCAGGAAAGGGGAGUGAUGAUUCUUUGUUGGUCUUAGAAAGCACUUAAAGGUGGCCACAGUUAAUUUUCAAACUGGCUGGGAAGAGCCACUUGCCCUAAGACCGAACACAGGCAACCGUGAAGGUCAACAAGUCACUGGAUACCCCUGGCCAGCAAGCAUGCAUCAGGCAAGGUAAAGCAAUAGAGAUCUGAUGUGAAGGCCAAAGAAUAGCUCUAUCUGCAGGAUGGGAGAGCUGACCCGGCAGGUGACAGUGCACACCGCUCUUGCAGAGAGGAUGACUUCAGUUCUUAGCUCCUGUGCAGAAUGGCUCACAACCGCCUGUAACUCCAGCCCCUGAUACCCUCUUCUGGUCUCCACAGUCACUAGUGCAUAGGACCACAUACCUGACACACAUAUAAAAAGUAAAAGUAAACUAAACCUUUAAAAACAUUUACUGCUGCACAGAAUCAACAAUGGCUAGGAUAGGUCUUUUGUUCUUUGCUUCUGUGGUUGUUCUGGCAAACAAUUAAGGUUGUCAUGCCUGUUGGGCAAGCUCUCUGCACUAAGCCACAGCAGGAGCCUGGAAUGGGCAACCCUCUGCUUCAGAGUCUAUGCACCGUUAAGGCACAGUUUCACAUUGCUGCUUUCCAAACGAUCUUAUUCAUGCUAAGUCUGCAUUUCACCAAGACAUGAUUCUCCAAAUCGCUUUCCCAGUUUGUGUACACCUAUCCAACAAAAAGUGUGCUUGAAGAAAGCUUCAACCAAAUGUCAGUGUGGCAUAA